rnacentral:lncRNA from 1 species
GCAAAGAGAGCUGAGAGGAGCAGAUUGAUACUCAGACGGAUUGACGAGACCCUGGAUGACUGGACAAGGAGAAGGGGGAGACACUGACAGUUACAGAUUCGGUAGAAGAGGAGAAAUCCGCAAAGGAGGAAGAGAUCCAACAGCCAGAGGAAGACCUGUUUCAAGAAUGGAGCAUCAGAGGCUGGUGAGAUGACUUGGAGGUUAUGUGUUUGGUGCAAAGGAGGAAGAGAUCCAACAGCCAGAGGAAGACCUGUUUCAAGAAUGGAGCAUCAGAGGCUGGUGAGAUGACUUGGAGGUUAUGUGUUUGGUGUGUAAGGAUGGUGGGCUGAGCUCAUAUCCCCAGCGCCUAUGUGAGAUCUGGGUGAGAUCAUGCUUGCCUUUAACACUGCAUGCUGGGAG